UUGCUCUUAUGAAGUUAGCGGCGGACGGGUGAGUAACACGUGGGUAACCUGCCCAUAAGACUGGGAUAACUCCGGGAAACCGGGGCUAAUACCGGAUAAUAUUUUGAACUGCAUGGUUCGAAAUUGAAAGGCGGCUUCGGCUGUCACUUAUGGAUGGACCCGCGUCGCAUUAGCUAGUUGGUGAGGUAACGGCUCACCAAGGCAACGAUGCGUAGCCGACCUGAGAGGGUGAUCGGCCACACUGGGACUGAGACACGGCCCAGACUCCUACGGGAGGCAGCAGUAGGGAAUCUUCCGCAAUGGACGAAAGUCUGACGGAGCAACGCCGCGUGAGUGAUGAAGGCUUUCGGGUCGUAAAACUCUGUUGUUAGGGAAGAACAAGUGCUAGUUGAAUAAGCUGGCACCUUGACGGUACCUAACCAGAAAGCCACGGCUAACUACGUGCCAGCAGCCGCGGUAAUACGUAGGUGGCAAGCGUUAUCCGGAAUUAUUGGGCGUAAAGCGCGCGCAGGUGGUUUCUUAAGUCUGAUGUGAAAGCCCACGGCUCAACCGUGGAGGGUCAUUGGAAACUGGGAGACUUGAGUGCAGAAGAGGAAAGUGGAAUUCCAAUGUGUACCGGUGAAAUGCGUAGAGAUAUGGAGGAACACCAGUGGCGAAGGCGACUUUCUGGUCUGUAACUGACACUGAGGCGCGAAAGCCUG
rnacentral:rRNA from 1 species